AUGAAGAUCUUCCAGAUCCAGUUUGUAGAUGAAGUCCAUGAAGGCCGAGCACCGCUGACAGUGACUGUGGCGAACACAGAGGAGGAGUUCAGGAACACCACAGUUAAAGACCUGCAGAGAAAACUCAUCCCAGAAGACGAGUAUGAAAACACCAUUCUGGUCUAUGAAUGUUCAACGCUGAAGAGAAAUCGCACACUCGGCUCCUAUAACAUUCAACAUGGCUCUGUUAUUAGAGGCUUAUGGCAUGGAGGUAUAAAUCCUGCUCAUAUUUAUAUUAUUGUAGAAAUCUCUUUAUAG
rnacentral:lncRNA from 1 species